AUUGAACGCUGGCGGCAGGCCUAACACAUGCAAGUCGAACGAGUGGCGGACGGGUGAGCAAUGUCUGGGAAACUGCCCGAUGGAGCGGGAUAACUACUGGAAACGGUAGCUAAUACCGCAUACCAUCGGAUGUGCCCAGAUGGGAUUAGCUUGUAGGUGUGGUAACGGCUCACCUAGGAGACGAUCCCUAGCUGGUCUGAGAGGAUGAACGGCCAAGAUGGAACUGAGACACGGGCCAGACUCCGACGGGAGGCAGCAGGGGGGAAGAUUGCACAAUGGGUGGAAGCCUGAGGCAGCCAUGCCGCGUGGAUGAGGAAGGCCUUCGGGUUGUAAAGUACUUUCAGCGGGGAGGCGUUACCCGCAGAAGAAGCACCGGCUAACUCCGUGCCAGCAGCCGCGGUAAUAC
rnacentral:rRNA from 1 species